rnacentral:rRNA from 1 species
UAAGGAAUAUUGGUCAAUGGGGGCAACCCUGAACCAGCCAUGCCGCGUGCAGGAAGACGGCCCUCUGGGUUGUAAACUGCUUUUAUUCGGGAAUAAACCUGCUUACGUGUAAGCAGCUGAAUGUACCGAAGGAAUAAGGAUCGGCUAACUCCGUGCCAGCAGCCGCGGUAAUACGGAGGAUCCAAGCGUUAUCCGGAUUUAUUGGGUUUAAAGGGUGCGUAGGCGGCCUGUUAAGUCAGGGGUGAAAGACGGUAGCUCAACUAUCGCAGUGCCCUUGAUACUGAUGGGCUUGAAUGGACUAGAGGUAGGCGGAAUGUGACAAGUAGCGGUGAAAUGCAUAGAUAUUAUCCAGAACACCAAUUGCGUAGGCAAGUUACUAAGUCAUAACUGACGCUGAGGCACGAAAGUGUGGGUAUCAAACAGGAUUAGAUACCCCUGUAGUCCCUGAGCGGGCUGGCAAGGCGCAU